AUGGCGACCGUACUAGAAUCUUUGCUUGGAUCAUGUGCCAAUAAGUUGAAAGAUAUCAUUACUAAUGAGGCCAUACUAAUCCUUGGGGUGGAAGAAGAGCUCGCAGAAGUGCUCCGACAAGUAGAGCUAAUACAGUGUUGCAUAUAUGAUUCUGAAAAGAGGAGGACAAAAGAGCUAGCAGUGAACAAUUGGCUUGGUCAACUGAGAGAUGUUAUGUAUGCUGUUGACGAAAUCAUGGACGUGGCUAGAUGUAAAGGAAUCAAGCUACUGUAUGGCCAUCCUUCAUCAUCAUCAAGCAAAUCAGCUGCAUGUAAAGGCAUUCAAGUUUCCUCUUGCUUUUGUAACAUCGGGUCACGUCAUGAUGUAGCUGUUCGGAUUAGAAGCCUCAACAAAAAGAUAGAGAAUAUUUCAAAGGACAAGAUAUUUUUAACAUUCAACAAUAGUACACAACCUACUCAAAAUGGUCCAACAUCCAAACUGAUAAGAGGUUCCAAUCUUGUUGAGCCCAACCUUGUUGGAAAGGAGAUCAUGCAUUCUAGCAGGAAGUUGGUGGACUUAGUUCAUUCACACAAGGAAAAUAAGUCUUACAAGAUUGCUAUUGUUGGAACUGGAGGAGUUGGUAAGACAACUCUAGCUCAGAAAAUAUACAAUGACCAAAAAAUAAAAGGAAGCUUCAAGCUACAUGCAUGGAUUUGUGUUACACGAGACUACAAUGAAGCUACUCUUCUUAAAGAGGUUCUCCGUAAUAUUGGUGUGCAUCAUGAGCAAGGUGAAACAAUAGCGGAGCUGCAUAGAAAACUUGCAGAAACAGUUGAAGGGAAGAGUUUCUUUCUGGUUCUAGAUGAUGUGUGGCAAUCCAAUGUAUGGACGGAUUUAUUAAGACCUCCAUUACAUAAGACCACUGCUGGAGUAAUAUUAGUAACCACACGAGAUGAUCAAAUUGCAAUGAGAAUAGGUGUGGAGUAUACCCAUCGAGUUGAUCUCAUGUCAGUAGAGGCGGGAUGGGAACUACUUUGGAAGAGCAUAAGCAUUGAAAAAGAAAAAGAAGUGCAGAAUUUGCAGAAAACAGGAAUUGAGAUUGUUCGUAAAUGUGGUCACCUCCCCCUGGCAAUCAAGGUUAGCGCUCGUGCUUUGGCAAGUAGAGAUAUAACAGAGAAUGAGUGGAGAAAGUUUUUGGGAAAACAUGUUGGCUCCCAGAGCAUGCUCUCGGAUGAAAUACAAGGAGUUCUGUAUCUCAGCUAUGAUGAAUUAGAACAUCGUCUUAAGCAAUGUUUCCUUUACUGUGCUUUGUAUACUGAAGAUUCUAUCAUUGACCGUGAUGUAGUUACCAAGUUAUGGAUUGCUGAAGGCUUUGUCGAGGAGCAACAGGGCCAACUACUAGAAGACAUAGCUGAAGAGUACUACUACGAGCUAAUCCAUCGAAAUCUCCUCCAACCAGAUGGAACAUAUUUUGAUAUGACUUAUUGCAAAAUGCAUGACCUCUUAAGACAGCUUGCCUUAAAUAUAUCAAAAGAAGAAUGCUUUAUUGGAGAUAUUGAAACAUUAAGGGGUGAUAAUAUGUCAAAACUUCGACGUGUUACCGUUGUGACUAAGAAGGACAAACUGGUAUUACCUAGCAUGGAUAAGAUAGAAAUUAAGGUGAGGACUUUGAUAACGGUUCCUGGUCCAAGGAGCAUUGAGGAUACAUUGUUCAAGAGAUUUCUGCUUCUUCGUGUUUUGGUACUGAAUUACUCAAUUGUACAAAGCAUUCCAGAUUAUAUUGGAAAAUUGAUACAUCUACGCCUACUUGAUCUAGAUUAUACUGGUAUAUCAUGUGUUCCGGAAUCCAUUGGAUCUCUAAAGAACCUUCAAGUAUUGAGCUUGGAAUGCUGUGGUGCUCUACACAGUCUUCCUCUGGCAAUGACCCAGUUGUGCAAUUUAAGAUGUCUUGAUCUUUCUGGUACAGAAAUAAAUCAGGUUCCAAAAGGGAUAGGGAAACUGAAGUUCCUCACUGAAUUGCGAGGAUUUCCUGUUGGUGAUGGAAGUGACAAUGCUGAUGUACAAGAUGAAUGGAAGUUGGAAGAGUUAUCUUCUUUGUCACAAAUGAGGUAUCUUUUUCUUGUUAAAUUGGAAAGGGUGGCUCAUUGUAGUGCAAAUACACUGCUAGCGGACAAAAAACAUCUAAAAGACCUAAAACUAGAGUGGACAAAAUCUAGAUGGGGAUCAUAUUCAGAAGAAGAUGUUAGGCAUAUUGAGGUGGUCUUUGAGCAUCUAGUACCUCCAAGCAACCUGGAAAACCUAUAUAUUUUGGGAUUCUUUGGUCGGCGGUAUGCCACCUGGUUUGGUACCACCUGUUUGUCUUCAUUAAUACACUUGAUCCUCAAAGAUGUACGAUCAUGUGUGCAUCUUCCACCUAUUGGGAAGCUACCCAACUUGAAAUAUCUGAGAAUUGAGGGUGCAGAUGCAGUUACCAAGGUUGGACCUGGAUUUGUUGGCUGCAGGAAUGGUGAUCCCCUGUGCAAUGAGUUAGUUGCUUUUCCUAAACUUGAAUGGUUGGUCCUCAAGCAUAUGCCCAACUGGGAGGAGUGGUCUUUUUUUGAAGAAAAGGGAAAAGCAGAAGUUUCUGAGGAUGAAGCUGAGAUUCGAAAAGAAGAUGCCCAAUCUGCAAGGUUGCAAGUGCUGCCUCGUUUGGUGCUGUUGAAACUUGAAGGUUGCCCAAAGUUGCGGGCUAUUCCACAGCAGCUUGGAGAGGACAGUGCCAGCUUGAAGUACCUCGAAUUAAUUGGACUACACAACUUGAAUGAUGUGGAGGACCUCCCAAUGCUCUCCGAGCUUCUCCUAAUUGAGAAAUGUGAAGGCCUGAAGAGGGUAUCCAACCUCCCUCAAGUGACAGACCUGCGUGUGCUUGGUUGUCUGAACUUAAGCCAUGUAGAGGGAUUGGGCAGUUUGCAGAAGCUGGGACUAGGCGAGGAUGUGCAAGAGAGCUCUUCACGCUGGGUGGUUGGUCUUCAAAACCAGCACCAACAACUUCAUGGUGAAGACCUGGAUGUCUACACGUUGGCUACCAGUUAG
rnacentral:rRNA from 1 species